rnacentral:rRNA from 1 species
CCUACGGGAGACAGCAGUGAGGAAUAUUGGUCAAUGGGCGGAAGCCUGAACCAGCCAAGUAGCGUGCGGGAUGAAGGCCCUACGGGUCGUAAACCGCUUUUGCACGGGGAUAACACCCUCCACUUGUGGAGGUCUGCAGGUACCGUGCGAAUAAGGGCCGGCUAAUUCCGUGCCAGCAGCCGCGGUACUACGGAUGGACCGAGCGUUAUCCGGAUUCAUUGGGCUUAAAGGGGGCGUAGGCGGGCUUUCAAGUCAGCUGUAAAAUCCCGCGGCUCAACCGCGCCCCGCAGUUGAAACUGGCCGCCUUUAGUUCACCACAGUCCGGCGUAAUUCGCUGUGUAGCGGU